ACUCCUACGGGAGGCAGCAGUGGGGAAUUUUGGACAAUGGGCGAAAGCCUGAUCCAGCCAUGCCGCGUGCAGGAUGAAGGCCUUCGGGUUGUAAACUGCUUUUGUACGGAACGAAACGGCCUUUUCUAAUAAAGAGGGCUAAUGACGGUACCGUAAGAAUAAGCACCGGCUAACUACGUGCCAGCAGCCGCGGUAAUACGUAGGGUGCAAGCGUUAAUCGGAAUUACUGGGCGUAAAGCGUGCGCAGGCGGUUAUGUAAGACAGUUGUGAAAUCCCCGGGCUCAACCUGGGAACUGCAUCUGUGACUGCAUAGCUAGAGUACGGUAGAGGGGGAUGGAAUUCCGCGUGUAGCAGUGAAAUGCGUAGAUAUGCGGAGGAACACCGAUGGCGAAGGCAAUCCCCUGGACCUGUACUGACGCUCAUGCACGAAAGCGUGGGGAGCAAACAGGAUUAGAUACCCGGGUAGUCC
rnacentral:rRNA from 1 species